UACGAACUGUGCGAACGUUAUUCGGAAUCACUGGGCUUACAGGGUGCGUAGGCGGCUUGUUAAGUCGGGUGUGAAAGCCCCCGGCUCAACCGGGGAAUGGCGCCCUAAACUGGCGAGCUGGAGUGAGAUAGGGGUGUGUGGAACUUCCGGUGGAGCGGUGAAAUGUGUUGAUAUCGGAAGGAACGCCGGUGGCGAAAGCGACACACUGGAUCUUGUCUGACGCUGAGGCACGAAAGCCAGGGGAGCGAACGGG
rnacentral:rRNA from 1 species